rnacentral:rRNA from 1 species
UCAUCUUCGGGGGUAGAGCACUGUUUCGACUAGGGGGUCAUCCCGACUUACCAACUCGAUGCAAACUGCGAAUACCGAAGAAUGUUAUCACGGGAGACACACGGCGGGUGCUAACGUCCGUCGUGAAGAGGGAAACAACCCAGACCGCCAGCUAAGGUCCCAAAGUCAUGGUUAAGUGGGAAACGAAGUGGGAAGGCUCAGACAGCCAGGAUGUUGGCUUAGAAGCAGCCAUCAUUUAAAGAAAGCGUAAUAGCUCACUGGUCGAGUCGGCCCGCGCGGAAGAUGUAACGGGGCUAAACCAUGCACCGAAGCUGCGGCAGCGACACAAAGUGUUGUUGGGUAGGGGAGCGUUCUGUAAGCCUGCGAAGGUGUACUGUGAGGUAUGCUGGAGGUAUCAGAAGUGCGAAUGCUGACAUAAGUAACGAUAAUGCGGGUGAAAAACCCGCACGCCGGAAGACCAAGGGUUCCUGUCCAACGUUAAUCGGGGCAGGGUGAGUCGACCCCUAAGGCGAGGCUGAAAAGCGUAGUCGAUGGGAAACGGGUUAAUAUUCCCGUACUGGUGGUAACUGCGAUGGGGGAACGGAGAAGGCUAGGUUGUCCGGGCGACGGUCGUCCCGGUUCAAGCAGGUAGGCAGAGUGAUUAGGCAAAUCCGGUCACUUAAUGCUGAGAUGUGAUGACGAACCACUAAGGUGGUGAAGCAAUUGAUGCCCCGCUUCCAGGAAAAGCCUCUAAGCUUCAGGUUACCAACAAUCGUACCCCAAACCGACACAGGUGGUCAGGUAGAGAAUACUCAGGCGCUUGAGAGAACUCGGGUGAAGGAACUAGGCAAAAUGGUGCCGUAACUUCGGGAGAAGGCACGCUGGCGGUAGGUAAAGUCCCU